CUGUCACUGUUACGAAUUCCUCCCGUAUCAUGUAAGCCGGCUCCCCUCUUUCCGUUCUGUGUCCAUGUCGGAGCAGUCCAAGGAGCCGCGGCGUGCCGGUCCUUGGUUUAGCGAUUGCUGGUUGUCCAGCAAGGAGAUCGAAGCUAAGAUUAAUCACUAUUCUCCAUUUCAAUCUUGCCUGUUUCCCCGCCUGCGCUUUCAAUGAUCCCCAAAUUGAAUCUUCCAGCCGGUUCGACUUCAGGGUUGGGCCUUUUUGGUAGGCAUUGCAUUUUGGGGCUUUGAUAAUGGGUGUUCCAGCGGGGGAGGGACGGUUCUGUUUGGUAGGUUUUCUGUCUUUUUUUGGGGGGUGGGUUGGCAAAAAAAUGUGAACCUCCCUUCAGGUUUCAAAAAUCGCACAGACCUCCCUUGACAUUUGAUUUUCAGAACAUUUAUACUUUUUCCAUCAAUUUACUGUCAAGUAGCUGAAUAAAAUUUUAAAAUUUUGAUUAUUAAACACAUGAAAUGGCAUAAGGUUUGCCCUUUUUUUUGGGGUGGGGGAAGGGUUUUAUGUAGCCUUUUGGAUGUUCAGGGGUGGAGGUUGCAAAAAGGGUAAAAUAGUCAAUUUCCUAAAAUUUUAUUUGGCUACUUGAUGGUAAAUUGAUGGAAAGGAUAUAAAUGUCUUGGAAAUCAAAUGUCAAGGCGAUGUCUGUGGGAUUUUUAAAACCUCACGGAAGAUUCAUGUCUUUUUGUCAAACCUUAUUGAAGAUCAAUGUCUUGUCUUUUUCCCUAAAUGAUAUUUUUAUUUGAUUGUUAACAUGAAUGCUUCUGUUCCUUUACUAACAUGUUUUAGUUUAACGCCAGUGAUUAUUGAAUCCUCUCAGGCUAUGGCUCUUCCUGGACAAUCUUGAUCAUAAGUGUGAGAGGGAGAGAGGGAGCACGUGGAGUAAAGUAGUCAAGGGAAUUGGGGAGCUAUUGUGUUUUUAACAUUGUUAUGUUUUUCUUUUUGUUUUUUUUUUUUUGUUUUUUUUUUUGUUUUUGGGUCUACUUGUUUUAAAAAACUAAAUAGGUGAACUUAUGAUAUAUAAUUGUGUUUGAAAGAUGUCUAUAUUUCAUUUUAAAUUAAAAUUACCUCAAUAUUCGCAUUCUAAAAAGAAAAAUAUGCCUAUAUAUGUAUAUAAUAUUUUAUAUUGAUUAAUUAACAUAUCCUGGCUGCAUCAUAUCCUCAUUUUUCCAAAAUUGCCAUAUGGCAAUCAAUAUCGUGCUGUAUCCCAUGUCAGUAAAGCUUCUUAGCUUCAGAUGCAAAUAGUCUAUCUAGUUUAUUAAAGCCUUUGACAAACAUUCAUACACUUUAUUAUGAAACUGAUGUUGAGAUGAUUAUUACAGGGCUUGUGCCAUUUGGGUUGAGCUGAGUUGAGUUUGGAUGUCUACAUUUGUGAAAUUCUCUCUAUUGUUUUAGACUACAUGCACUGUAUCAAAUCUCAUCUUGAAUAAUACAUACAAGGAACUUUGGCAAGCUUAUUCUGGGCUGUUUGUAUCUGUACACACGCCUUUUUUCUGGCCGCUGACGAAAAAGGUUGGUUGGAUGGCCAGUUAGUGGAAGCCCUUCCCUGGUCGGGACCAUAAGAUUCCAAAAAAAAAAUGUAACAGAGGUCAAUAUUAGGGGCUUUUGGCUAAAAAUAUUUGAUAAUGGCUGUGGCCAAAUGACUAUAUAAUUGGGUAGAUAAUUCAUCAAUUUACUGGAAUAUGAAACAAGGAGCAUUCUUUUAAGAUUCAUUAGCAUCUUUGCAUUUUGAGUUCUUGAGGUUUAACUGUGUUCUCUGAGUUCCUCUGCAGAAUUUAUUAUCUGUCGAUGACCCAUUUGUUUGCUUUCUUCUUCAUGAUUUUUUCCCCCUCAGCCAGGUAACCGGCUUGUCAUUUUUGCUGAUUCUACUUUCCAAGGUUUAUUUACUUGUGAAAAAAUCAGUAUGCUAACGAUCAGAAGUUCACAGAAUUUAUCUUCACAGGUAACUGGAGAGGAAGGUAAUGAGGUUUGAACCCUGCUCAAAUGCAUGAUGGGAUGAGCCAUUGGUACUAGGCCAUUGAUAAUGGCUGUGGCCAAAUGACUAUAUAAUUGGGUAGAUAAUUCAUCAAUUUACUGGAAUAUGAAACAAGGAGCAUUCUUUCAAGAUUCAUUAGCAUCUUUGCAUUUUGAGUUCUUGAGGUUUAACUGUGUUCUCUGAGUUCCCCUGCAGAAUUUAUUAUCUGUUGAUGACCCAUUUGUUUGCUUUCUUCUUCAUGAUUUUUUCCCCCUCAGCCAGGUAACCGGCUUGUCAUUUUUGCUGAUUCUACUUUCCAAGGUUUAUUUACUUGUGAAAAAAAUCAGUAUGCUAACGAUCAGAAGUUCACAGAAUAUAUCUUCACAGGUAACUGGAGAGGAAGGUAAUGAGGUUUGAACCCUGCUCAAAUGCAUGAUGGGAUGAGCCAUUGGUACUAGGCCAUUGAUAAUGGCUGUGGCCAAAUGACUAUAUAAUUGGGUAGAUAAUUCAUCAAUUUACUGGAAUAUGAAACAAGGAGCAUUCUUUCAAGAUUCAUUAGCAUCUUUGCAUUUUGAGUUCUUGAGGUUUAACUGUGUUCUCUGAGUUCCCCUGCAGAAUUUAUUAUCUGUUGAUGACCCAUUUGUUUGCUUUCUUCUUCAUGAUUUUUUCCCCCUCAGCCAGGUAACCGGCUUGUCAUUUUUGCUGAUUCUACUUUCCAAGGUUUAUUUACUUGUGAAAAAAUCAGUAUGCUAACGAUCAGAAGUUCACAGAAUUUAUCUUCACAGGUAACUGGAGAGGAAGGUAAUGAGGUUUGAACCCUGCUCAAAUGCAUGAUGGGAUGAGCCAUUGGUACUAGGCCAUCCUUCGUCGUCCUCAUUACUUAAUCUCGGGAUCAUAUAGGAGAACAUUAUUAGAAACAGGAAUCAACCCUCUCGGUCCUGCUUAUGAUUCCCUUGAUAUGGUGAGGACUCCUUAAAAGCAUCUGUUAAUUUGUCUCUUCUUCAAAUGAUUCCCUUGAUAUGGUGAGGACUCCUUAAAAGCAUCUGUUAACCUGUCUCUUCUUCAGUAGGCUGUGUUUUUUUUUUAAA